GAUGAAGAACGUAGCGAAAUGCGAUAAGUAAUGUGAAUUGCAGAAUUCAGUGAAUCAUCGAAUCUUUGAACGCACAUUGCGCCCACUAGUAUUCUGGCGGGCAUGCCUGUUCGAGCGUCAUUUCAACCCUCAAGCACAGCUUGGUGUUGGGACUCGCGUUAAUUCGCGUUCCCCAAAUUGAUUGGCGGUCACGUCGAGCUUCCAUAGCGUAGUAGUAAAACCCUCUUUACUGGUAAUCGUCGCGGCCACGCCGUUAAACCCCAACUUCUGAAUGUUGACCUCGGAUCAGGUAGGAAUACCCGCUGAACUUAAGCAUAUCAAUAAGCGGAGGA
rnacentral:misc_RNA from 1 species